rfam:Puccinia graminis f. sp. tritici CRL 75-36-700-3 supercont2.16 genomic scaffold, whole genome shotgun sequence.
GCGCACUUAGCUUAGUGGUUAAAAGCAUAACUCAUGAAUUUUGGGGUCACAGGUUCAAUUCCUGUAGUGCACA